UGAAACCUGCAAUAGUUCUAUGUACUCGGUGGUCCUGGGUAAGGGAUAUAGACAUAAAUAUCGGAUUAACCAGAAACCAUUGAUGUGUCGGGAGUUUGCUACAAGUCCAGUGGGCCUUUGCCAAAACGUAUGCAGCCCACACUUGCACAUCUCGGAAAUAUUAAAAGACAGUAACGACCCCUGCAACAUCUUCCUACACAAUGGAAAAAAUCUGGAUUCACUUAAUGCCGAGUUCCGAGUUUGUGAGGGCAAGAUAAAGCCAGCCGGGGAAUGCACCAGUCGCAUUACAAUCCCGCUUAAUCAGUCUAAAGUACUCUGAUAUAUGACUGAUGCUGAAAAUUAAUCCGCUUGACUCACAAAGGCAACGAAAUAAUGCAUAGUUAGGACAGAGGUAAUACCCCCCGAAAUCCAGGCACACACUAUAAUUUGAUUAAAGACUUAAAUUGUAUUCAGAAAUAUGAGACGACCAGUUCAUUUGUGUCGGCCACAUCUUUAACACAUUUAAUGCGAAGUGAUUAAAAUUUUCUCGAAUUUUGGGAUAUACUGUGAGCGGCGUUGAUUGAUCGCGGUGCCUUUUUGUGUAAAUGAGCCGCGUUUUCCGGAUUUUUAUUACAUUUCUUUUUUUCGUUUACACUUUUGGCGAUGGUUAUCUUGAUUUAAUUAUAUAGCAGUGAAAUGGAGUCCCCGACCCCAUAACAUCAGCCACGUCAUGAACCCCCCGAACACAAAAGGGCUACGAGAUGACAUGUAGUUCCUAUCUUCUUUUUUUUUUUAAAUAAUGGAUCACUCUACGACAUGUCACCGUUGAUAGUAUGUGAAGACUUCUCUCUCGAUGUUUCGUUUUGUUCAGUUGUUCUAUCUUUAUGUUCUGUUUAGUUGACGUCAGUAGAGUAACGUCAUUGAGAAUUUGAUUCGCAUUUUUGGGAAGUCCAAUGCACAACGCUGGUAUUGAUCGUUUACUUAUCAUUAAGUCAUAUUCAUAUAUAUAGCGUUAAUGUCAGUUUUUAUUUAGUUGUUGGGUUUUUUUAAGGUAAAAAUUGGACCCCAGCAGUUCAUCUGUUAUAUAAAAAACUAACACAUUCCAAGGCAUGUAUAAAAAAUCCCAUUAUCUUCCUUCCCCUGGCAACAAAUUUUCGAGGGUCUGCAUACAACAAAAGUAAAGUAAUUAAACGGUCGGCAUAAAUCGAAAUUACUCAAAUUGCACGUCAGUGGUGAACAUACAUAUUUUAUUAACGUUCUCCGGUGAGCUGAGGAGCAAAUCGGAGCGUUUAAGGCCUUAUACCGGUCUACAUCGAGUGAUGAAUUGGGGAACAUUUUCCUAUCUUUAUUCCGGAUCGGUAGAAAUAUUUACGAGUACUUGUAGCGUUUAAUUGGCAGUUAGUCUCACAAGAUAACCAUGUGCAAGAAUUGUGGAUAUUUAUAAGACUACUCAAGGAAAUGAGAUCGCGCCUUUCUGGGUGAAUUUCACGCCCUUGUGUUCAAAUAUAAAAUGCAAUAUCCCACCAUCCGCCAUUUACUUUCAAUAAAAAAGAUUUUAUCUCAGUGGGGAGAUCCGAGUGUUUAUUAUACCCGUCUUAUCACUGUAUAUCAAACGCUUAUUUAAUUCUUUGAAGACUGUGAAAUCUUAAUUUGGUUUCCAGGUACAUAAUAAUGAUUUGUACGCCAUUAAACCAGAUCUUUUAAUAAAUAUCAGCCACAGCCUUUAUUAUGGGUCUACAGAAUAAUCUACACAUCUUCUCAAGAGCGUGUCGGGUGCCGUAAAAAGACAGAAAUCUUCAAUAUUACGGAAAUAUGAUGUAAAGUUUUGUACCCACGUGAACCCCCUCCUCCCCCCACAUCAGAUAUCUGAUACACAGUCAUGUGAUAUCCAUCAGAAAUAUGUCGCGGUAUUUUACGUAUGUCAUUAUUACGUACUGAGUAAUAGUUUGAGUAUAGUCGUUUUGUAGUCCAGCGUCCGAUGAAUUCUGACAUCAUCAUUAGAAUACUUGAUCAUGUACUGUGUAUUGAAUUGAAUUUAUUUUUCUUGAUUUCAUAUGGUCAACAAAAAUGAUAAUAACAAUUUAAAAAAUAAUGAAAAAACCCCGAGUGGUUUGCUUUAAUCAAUGUCUUGAUUCUGUUUUUAAUACAUGCAUUUAGUUUAAAGACGAUAUGUCUUAAUAACCUAUUUUGUUUGUUUUUGGCAUAUUAUACUAUUCUUACUCAUGUUCUAUCGCUUUCGGCACUUUCCACUAGAUUACGUCUGAUAUUUUGCAUAUAGAUUUUUCAAUUAUCAUAUCACACUAUGAUGUGAAAAUGAUUGAUCUAGCUUAAAGUUCACGCCUGGUCAGGUUCCAUAUACAGACCUAGAUUUAUUUCCCCUCGUUGGAGGUACGGGGAAUUAAAUGACCUAAUAACGUCUAUCUCCACAUCUCGCCUGUCAGCCUAUUAUAAAUAUGUGAUUAUGAACAUCAAAUACACGAUGAUGCUCCAAAAUCAGACAAAACAAAUUGAAAAAUAUAUAUUUUUUAAUGUUGUCAAAGUCCCGUGAUAAAGACUAAGUAUCUCUGGGUUUUUGAAAUCUAAAUUUUAAUCUUAAUAUUUUUGUGUAAAUAUUUGUUAAAUUAUAUCAGAAAAAAAUGAAUAUUCAAGGAAGAUGUUUAUUUAUAAUGCAGACCAAAAUAUACUUUGCUGGGUUCGUCGAGGAAUAAAUAACACGAGUUUUCACAGAAAAAAGGGUUAUACAAACCAUUUGUCUAAAAUCAUAUCGUUUACUUGUAUGUUUGAAUGAAAUACGUUCGUUUCCAUUUGUUAUAUAAUGCAUGUAUCUUGUUACAUUUCCGUCCUAGAUUAGAUAAGUUGGUAAGUAAAUUUACUUUGAUGCGGAAUUUAUGUCAUUGUUAUCAGAAGGGGUUGUCUUUGUUUACCAUGUUUUCCAUUUUAAUGAACCAUAUUUAUACUGCCAUAAUCUUGAAACAUAAACCGCUUUACUGAGGGUUGGAAAAGAUUUUCAUGCUAAACUAAAUAUAUCACUCUUCAGAACUGCUUGUAUAUGCCAGGGAUAAUUAAAAAACAAAUAUGUCUGGCGUGUCAAACCUUCUAAAAUUGUGCGUAAUAAAAUAGGCAAAAAGUCAGAGGAAAUCAGAUAUCACAUUGUAGGUCGUUCAUGUGGUCCGCCGUCCAAAAUAAAGCAUCCAUGUUAUUAGCUAAUACUCUUGAAAACAAUUAUCACUACCAUCCAACGAUUUCCUAAUGCCGUUUAUCCAAGCGCCAAGGUGCGAGCCGCGGAAUACUAGGCGCGAAAAAGUAAUUUUGGAUAUUCGAAUGAUGAAAUAACGGAGAUGCAUUCCUUCGGGAACGAAUCACGCUCCAGUAAAGAGGGUGUUAAAUUACAGUCGUUGUGCAGCAUUCAAAAAAGGUGUGAAACGGUUUUUCUGUAUUUGUGUUUUUUAACAGCUAAACCCCGGUUUUAAUCCACCGGGAUCCUUGAGGUAGCUCCCGAGACCGUCUCGUGGCAGGGUUUUAAUAUUGGUCUUAUUCAAUAACUCGGAGAUGUGGCAUCAUGUAAUAGCUUUCUCUGGAAAUACAUUUAAUGACUUUACGUCUAAAACUGAUCAGCAUGUCAUGUCUUUAUUUUUCCUUUCAUAAAUAUUCUUCAUGGUGUUUUGCCUGCUUGCUUUCCACUUUACGUCGUCCUUGACUGUUGGUGUUGGACGGACAGCCGACCUACAUGUAGAGUCUAAAAUCUUUUUCUGUUAACUUUAAAUUAUAAUUUCUAAGUGUGUUUUAUUAUUUUAUCAAUAUCAUUAUAUAUAAACAAUGUUAUACAGAGAAAAUAUCAUCUCCAAUUGUUUUGUCUUAUAAUUUUGAUAUUAAAGAAACACUGAUCACGUGUACAGAAUUAUGAUUGUUGUGCUGGGACAUUGUAAUGGGGAAUAUUUCGUCUAAUAUCUUCCUUGAAUGUGGCAAAAGAAACAAGAAAUUAGCGAUAAAUGCUAUCAGUUAUCGUAAAUGGCAAUAAUUGAUAACUGUAGAAAAUUCAUUUUCAAAUUUCAGUAUUUUCCCCAUGAGAGAUUUCUAUCGUUGGCAAACAUUUGUCACAGUCGCAUUAGUGACAUAAUCAAAAUAACCAAAUUGUUCACCCAUUUUUGCAUUUUUAUUUCAUGACGUUUAAGAUGCAAAACAAAGAAAUAUAAGGUUAACGUUGCAUUUUGAAUGCAGCAUAAAACGCAAUCUAAUUUACAGUAGCGUAUUUUAAUAAUUUAGAAUCUGGAGAAAAUAACUGCAUACGUGACAAGUUUUGAAUCUGACAAUGUCUAAAUUAAUAAAGGAAAACAGUCUUGGAAGUCUGAAUUAAAAGAAUAUACACGAAGAACCAAACAUCCUAAUUUCAAAAUUCUAAUUUUGUGUACGUGUAUCGGAAAUAUCUUAAACUCUUUGAACUCACCAAAGGUCAAUGGACCUUCGAACUUGGUUCUCCGUGCCGUUUCAGUUAUAACAAAAUGUGUAUAUUUUACAUUCACACAAUUGAAAAUUAAAACAGAUGUUUCAAGUGUCAGUUUAUAAAUAAGGUGUAAAUAUUUGGAUGCCGCGAUAAGCUUCCGCUGAUAACGGGGUUUCCUCCUCAUCCUAAUGAUGUGACCCGCCGCAGAUUUUCGUGGACUUAUCAACCAUCUUCUGCAGGACGAGGGAUACCUGGUGUCUAGACCCGAUAACGAGAUGGUCAUUACUCGGGCUCCUCGGACAGCUGUUUGCAACGUUUUCGCAUGCCUCCAUCAUAUUUCAACAAUAUUCUAAUAAAAAAAAGUAAAUAGGAGGUUUGGAAGGGUUAGCAACAUCUGCAACGAAUGAAUGAACUCAUAGUUUGAUAUCUUUCUUUUUCGUAUUUAAAAAAAACAACACCCAGAAUACGGAGAGUACUCCUUUUCUUGAAAACGUAUUUCCUUCUUUUAGCAGACAGUACAUCUGAACAUGUUUGAUAGUCUUCUUUCCGAAGGAGCAUGAUAUUUUCCCAAGCAAUGGAGACAGUAAUUUCCGAUGCAUUAGAUACCAUAUAUCAAAUUACAAUACAGCAAAAUUUCCAGUAUUGGUGGACAAAUAACCUCGAUCGUCUAAUAAAAAAUAUGCUUCAUUUGUCGUGGUCAGCAAAUCCCACUUCCAAUAUUUUUUUCCUCUUACACAAGAACCUUUCUGCAAGACAAAGAGAUCAGAGACAUCCUAAUGAAGCCGCCAUAUUCCGCCUGGUUGUAAUUUGUCAUCGAUAAUUAU